rnacentral:rRNA from 1 species
UAGGGAACCUUCGGCAAUGGACGGAAGUCUGACCGAGCAACGCCGCGUGAGUGAAGAAGGUUUUCGGAUCGUAAAGCUCUGUUGUAAGAGAAGAACGAGUGUGAGAGUGGAAAGUUCACACUGUGACGGUAUCUUACCAGAAAGGGAUGGCUAACUACGUGCCAGCAGCCGCGGUAAUACGUAGGUCCCGAGCGUUGUCCGGAUUUAUUGGGCGUAAAGCGAGCGCAGGCGGUUAGAUAAGUCUGAAGUUAAAGGCUGUGGCUUAACCAUAGUACGCUUUGGAAACUGUUUAACUUGAGUGCAAGAGGGGAGAGUGGAAUUCCAUGUGUAGCGGUGAAAUGCGUAGAUAUAUGGAGGAACACCGGUGGCGAAAGCGGCUCUCUGGCUUGUAACUGACGCUGAGGCUCGAAAGCGUGGGGAGCAAACAGGAUUAGAUACCCUGGUAGUCCACGCCGUAAACGAUGAGUGCUAGGUGUUAGACCCUUUCCGGGGUUUAGUGCCGCAGCUAACGCAUUAAGCACUCCGCCUGGGGAGUACGACCGCAAGGUUG